UAACGGUUCAUUUCAACACCCUAAACUGUGUCAGUUGACUCAGAGCUUAGACAUGGGAAAGGCCUCAGUCUGAUGAUAUGCAGCCAUGUUCCAGCAAGCUUUGCGGUACCCGUCCCAUAAUCUCAAGGGUCUGAAAAUAGGGAGAUGGCUGUGGUUUGGGGGGAGCUCUCUACAGCUGCCGGACUGCCAUUUAUUUUGUUAACUUAAACCCAAAUAAUUCCUGUCAGGAUCUGCUCCAGAGUGUCUUGACUCAGCCCUUUUUGAGUUUGCAAUGGGAAGUAUGAAUUGCAAAAGUGAGCCCACGCCUGACACCAGCAGAAAGAGAAGCCUGUUGACGACUAAUUUCCAGCAGCGGGAUAUUACCAAGGAGGAUACCACCAUCCCACAGUGCGGGUCAGUCACCUCAGGACCCAUGCUGCCUUUCUAUGUCCUUUGACCAGAACAGACUCCAUAUCUGCCCAACAGGAACCUGGCGUCAUACAGUUCACCCCCUACCUCUUAGCCCUGAGGUGUGUGUAUGCCAUCAUUGCAGGUGUUUACCUCCAAACCAACCCGAAGAACCCCUGCCAUGGCAACACAAUCACACACUAUGUGGUCAACACAGGAAAUGCAAAUGCGAACACCUGAGUGAAUACCUCAGGGAACAAUUAAUUUAAGGAUUAGCAUUAAUGAAGUAAUGUUCUGCUUGUUUGUUUAACAACAUAUGACCAACUUGAUUGUGUAUGUUUUAUUUAGUUUAGUUAGGAUUACUUCUAAAAUAAACUUUUAUACAUUAAUAAAGAA
ensembl:lncRNA